rnacentral:rRNA from 1 species
UACGGAGGGGGCUAGCGUUGUUCGGAAUCACUGGGCGUAAAGCGCACGUAGGCCGGCUGUUAAGUCGGGGGUGAAAGCCUGGAGCUCAACUCCAGAACUGCCUCCGAUACUGGCAGCCUUGAGUCCGAGAGAGGUGAGUGGAAUUCCCAGUGUAGAGGUGAAAUUCGUAGAUAUUGGGAAGAACACCAGUGGCGAAGGCGACUCACUGGACGACUGUUGACGCUGAUGUGCGAAAGCGUGGGGAGCAAACAGG